GUCGCUUAUUGGCAGGAAUUGAGUCACUUGCAAAAGAUCUGACAUCAACAGUUGAUGGUCAAAAUAUAUCCUUUUUAGAUGCUGCAAGAUCUGCUGGAUACGCAAAAGAGCACAAUGACCUAUCCAGUGUGUUUUUGAAGAAAGGAAGUUACUCUGCUUUUGUUGAAUUGCAUAUAGAGCAGGGACCCAUUCUGGAGGAGGAAGGUUUGUCAUUUUUUACUGCUUAUUUUAUCCUUAUGAUCUCAAUUUAUUGAUGGUUAUUAAUCCACUUUAUACUUCAAAUCAGGUACAUCAAUUGGUAUAGUGACUGCGAUUGCAGCUCCUGCAAGUAUAAAAGUAGAUUUUGAAGGCAAUGGAGGGCAUGCGGGUGCUGUCUUGAUGCCGAAUAGGUAACUGCUGUCUGCCUGUAUGCAGUUAAAUUUACAUAUCUUUCAUCAAUUUGGUAUAUUCAUCAUUCUGAUUCUUUUAUUAUGCUUAUUCAGUCAACAAGAUUCACGACGUUUUACAUGUAAUGAGCAGGAACGAUGCCGGUCUGGCUGCUUCAGAACUAGCGCUAGCUGUCGAGAAACAUGUUCUAGAAUCUGGAUCCAUUGAUACCGUUGGUACAGUCGGUAAGUCAUCUUCCUGAAUGCCUAAACUUAGAAUUUUUUGGUACUUAUUGUUUAAAUCCAUCUUGCAUUAGAUUAUAUCUAACUUUGAGUUGGCUAUCUUUCUUUCUUAGAACUAUGAUGUGACUCAAUAUAUCCUGUUUCCUAAGGUAUUCUGGAGCUGCAUCCUGGUGCAAUCAACAGCAUACCAAGCAAGUCACACUUAGAAAUUGGUAUGGUUCCAAUCAGUUGUUGAAGUCUUAUUGGAAAACUGGCCAACAAUUUUAUAACAUAAAUACUUUGCAUGAGAUGAGUAUUAAGUUCCUGAAGUUUGUUUAAAAUCAUGUUAUUGGCAUUCUUCUUCUCCCAAAGUUUGAUUUAAUUCCAGUUGAUUUCUGAAGUUUUUCUUUGUUAUUUAUUGAGUUUUCUAUUAUCUGUGUUUCGGCAGACACACGAGACAUUGAUGAAAAGCGAAGAAAUAGUGUGAUUGAAAAAAUCCGUCAGUCUGCAAUUACAAUUGCUAAAAAUCGUGGGGUCACUCUAUCUGAAUUCAAAAUCGUAAAUCAGGAUCCACCAGCUCUUUCUGAGAAAUCAAUAAUUGAGGCAGUGGAAGCAGCGUCAAAAGAACUUAAUUUAACACAUAAGUUUAUGAUAAGCAGAGCUUACCAUGAUUCACUCUUUAUGGCCAGGUAUAGAUAGAGAGAAAGAGUUAAUAUUUGUACCUUGUCCAGUACCAUGCUAUAUGUCCCAUUAUUUUGGGCCCUCCAAGUGCCAUGUUUCUUAACAUGAAGAUUUUACUCCUUUUUCCCCCCUUUCUUUUCUUUGAAAGAGGAGGAAAAUGAUAAAAUCUAAUGAUGCAAGAUACCAAUAUGGGAAUUCAGGUGAAGAAAAUUUUCCAAGGUGAAAACUGGGAGUGGGUACUUUUUGGCAGCAAUUUACUGCUGAAAAUUCGCCGAAAUCCCCAUGAUUUGAGUGACUGGCACCCAAAUUUUCAAAAGUUUCACAUCCAAUCUGUUUCUUCCAACUCCCAAGCUUUUUCACAAACAAUACACAGCACCAAACUUGCACACAAAUGUGAAAUGUAUCCUUAUUUUUAGAUGCUUUACUAUGAAUUAGCUAUCUUAUUAUUACCGUUCACUUCACCUGCUUAAGGAUGUUUUAGAUGGUGAAUGCAUAUUUAAUCUUAUUGUUCUUCUUGCUAGCAACAUCUAAUUAUAGGUUCACAUCCUUGCAGGGUAUCGCCAAUGGGCAUGAUAUUCAUUCCAUGUUUCAAAGGUAUGAACGCAUUUCUUUUCUUCUGUAUCUAGAAAUCUAAACCCUUCAUCGCUGAUUAUUAAGUUGAAUGUUGAAAUAUUCGGAAUGACUAUAAUUAUCUAGUUGGAUUUCAUCAAUAAAAAUUUUUAGGUACUGCUUUGGUGCUGGUGCUUCUUUUGCUUUUGAAUUAUGUGCACAUGAAACAAAUCUUGUGUGGAAGUACACUAAAAUCACAUGAUGUGAAUUAGAAAAUGUACGCUUGUACAAGUAGUAGGGCACAUACCCAUUCUCGAAUGGUGUCAACUUAGUAGGGGACUUUAUCUAGUCAAAAUGAGGACGUCUAGCAUUUGUAAUCUAUCUAAUCAUCUUCUUAUUUUAUGAGGGAACUAGAGCAUAGAACCAGACUAAUGCUUGUUUUCAUACAUUUGAUUUUGCAGGUUAUAGCCACAAGCCUGAGGAAUAUGCCUCUGGCCAUGACAUGGAAAAUGGGGUAAAGGUAUUAGCAUUGACCCUUGCCAAGUUGUCCCUGCAAUGAUCACUGCUUGUAAUUCUUGUCAACCAACAACCUGCAAUGAUCACUGCUUGCAAUACUAGGUAUACAGGGUUAUACAUUCUCCUUUCUGUUACCCUUUGUGCAGUCAGGAGUUACUUUAUGCUUAUUUUUAGUAAAUGACUUGAUAUAGAGCUCCAACAUUGAUCCAUGACUUACGAGUUACUUAGACAUGAGACUGUAAAUUCAGAUAGUCUUGUAACAGUCUUGUUGACCAUGGGACAGUAGAUUCUGAUAGUCAUGUUGAAUAUCUCAUAUUUCUCUUGAUGAGGAAUCACAGUGAUGACGCCUUUAAUUUAGCUUAGAGCAGAGUUUUCUCAGAUGUUGUGAUAAUUGUGGACGAACAGAUGAUAAAUCUAGCACUCACCAGCACUUACAACAAUCCUCUUCUGUUUUCUGGUAAGAACUAGUAUCAUAAUCACUAACCUAAUAAUUGUCCUCCGAGUCAGAUCAACAGUUGAAACCGACCCAGCCCUGCCCCCAACCCCUCUCUUAUUUUGGUGGUGGUUGUUGAACACAUUUUUUGAAAUUACAACUCUAACGGUGAUGCUUGCAGCAUUAGCUGAUCUCAGGAUGCAGUCUAUUUGCGUAAAUUUUGUGUGUGCUGCAUAUGGGUGUUUGUGAGUGUCUGGCGCGUGAGAGGGAGUGUGAGAAGAGAACUUCAUAAAUCUGUUUAUCUGAUGUAAAAUGAAACAUGAAAGAGCAGGAGCAUAAGUGAUAAGUUUGAUUAUAUGAAAAGAGAAAAAUGGAAAUAUGCCCGGAAAACACCCAACGGCUUUAGAUGUAUUGGUAAUUUUAAAUCUAUGGGAAUACAGGUAAUCAAGGUUGUACAUCAGUUUGCGUAGGCCUUAAUUAUUUUGAGUAGCUAUUACUAGAGUUAUUAUUGUAUAGAAUGCCACGUGGCCUAUAUUUUUUUAAUUCUCAUUAAUUAUAUUAUUUUUCUUAAAAUUUUGCCCAAAAAUUAGCUUUCUUAAUAAUAUAAAGAAUCGCCAACAUUUGAAUCACAACUCAUCAUCCUAGAAACUUGUAAUCAAUAUCUAAUGGAUGAAUGUUAUAUCAGUUGGAAUUCAAAUUGAGAAUUAAAUGUUUGGACACCUAGUAUUGUUCUAAUUUUAUUUUAUCUUGAAGGUAAUUUGUAGUAUCAACUAUUUGAAAAUUCUUACAAGUGAAUGAAAAUAAAACUUUCAAUUAAAUUAAAAGCAGUGGUAGAUAUUUUAAGAUUUUAUCCUAAAUUUUGUAAAUAAUGUGUCAUUCAUUAGAGUAGAAUACGUGAAAUAAUGAUAUAAUUUAAAAGAAAAAAAGACCGUAAAAUAAUAUAACUAAUUCAGUUGAAAUUUAUGAAAAAAUAAUUGAUUAAUGAAUGACGUAUCAUUUAAGAUAAAAAUAUAUGAUUGUAAAAUUACGAGGUGCAGCUAUAAUCAUCGGCACUCUUUUCUCCUUAUUAGUUACAUUUUUUUUUUCUUGGAUAACAACUUUUUAAACCGUAUAUUCAAUUUAUAUUUUCUUACUACGUAUGUAGGAAAACUUGUUAAAUAUAACAGAAACAGUGUGCUUAUCUAGGAACAACUUAUUACGAAAUGCCAAGGCAGGAGACUAUAUGUAAUUCUUUCCAACGAAAGUUUUGUGUGUUUCCUAAUAAUUGAGUAAUAAUUAGGGUAAGUGAAGACUCUACCUAAUACCAAUACGAUACGGUAAAUCCUCUGUAAGCUAAUAAUGUCGUUAUCAUAUAAAAUUUAUUAAUUUAAAGAAGAAUUAAUUAAUUGUCGACUUAUUGAGUGUUUAUACAAUUCAAUGAAACAUAUAUGCAAGGGAUUUCAAAACAACUAUCAUCAUAUUAAUUUAACCAAUUAGCCCAAGUUGGGACUAUAAAUAAUUGCUAUGUAAUAGAGAUUAUUGAUUUUUAGAGAUUAUAUUUUACCGAGUGGUUUUUUGGAGCAUGUAAAAGAGGUACAGUUUUCUUAUCACUAGAAUAUUGCGGCACUUCAAUGUUCCAUUCUCACCAAGCCUAUUUAUACUGAAGUCAGGAAACUAGAUUGGGAAAUUAUAUCUGGCAUUGGAUUUCAUAGAAGUCGUGGGGAAUGGGUUAAGACUCCGUCAUCUAAGAAUGAGGACACUUUGGUAGCUCCGAAGGAUAACCGAUUGCUUAACGAUAUUUAUUCUGAGGAUGAGUUACCCAAUUUUCGACAUGGCACUAGACCUCGUGCACCUCGCCGAGCUGCAGCAGCACAAUCUCCGGCUGAGGAGCCAGCAGAGUCAAUUGAGCACCCUAAGGCACCUUUAGUUUUUUAGGACCACAUGCAGUAGCUAUUCGACAAAGUGGAUACCCUCUCUCAGCAACAACAGCAGCUUCAAUCCCAAAUUUAGACAUUUUAGCAGCAGAUUCUAGACCAGCAACAUGAGCUUCUCAAGGUAUGGCUUGUCAAUUAGUUAAGAGUAAAUUUGAUUUACCUACUCGCUAAAGAAAAAGCUUAAAUGUUUAGGGAAUCUAAAUGAAAUGUAAUAGGGAAGAAAAAAAAAUAAAGAUGUUAAUGGUCCAUUUACCGAUCGAUAAUCGGAAUAGAUUAGAAUUAAAAUAGAUUUAAAUUGAAAUGGAUUAAAAUUAGAAUGGGACAUAAAGUGUUAUAUUUUAUAAACUUUUGAUAUUUGACUUUCUUCCAAUAAAGAACUCAAAUAAAAAAAUAAUCACUUUGGUAAACAUGGUGCACCCAUAUUAAUUAUUUACUAAAUGAAUAUUAUUAAUUAACAAUUAAUAUCCUCUUUGGUAAUCUUACAAAUAGUUUUGUGAUGCUCAAGUAGUUCAAUUAAAGUCUCAUGAACUUCAUGUAGGGAGGAAUAAAGGAAGUAUUAUAUAAAGUGGAGGCAAAGAAUCUCUAUAUAUAUUAUUUAAUUGUUGGAUGGUUAAGGUAUGACUUGUCAAUUAGUUAAAAGUAAAUUUGAUUAUCUACUCGCUAGAGAAAAAGAUUAAAUGUUUAGGGAAUCUAAAUGAAAUGUAAUAGGGAAGAAUAAAAAAUGAAGAUGUUAAUGGUCCAUUUACCGAUUGAUAAUCGGAAUGAGUACGAAUUAAAAUAUAUUUGAACUGGAAUAGGUUGAAAUUAGAAUGGGGCAUAAAGUGUUAUACUUUAUAAACUUUUAAUAUUUGACUUUCUUCCUGUAGAGAAUUCAAAUAUAAAAAUAAUCCCUUUGGUAAAAAUGGUGCACCCAUAUUAAUGUUUACCUAAUGAAUAUUAUUAAUUAGCAAUUACUGCCCUCUUUAGUAAUCUUACGAAUAGUUUUGUGAUGCUCAAGUAGUUCGAUUAAAGGUUCACGAGCUUCAUGUAGGGAGGAAUAAAGGAAGUAUUAUAUAAAAUAGAGGCAAAGAAUCUCUAUAUAUAUUAUUUAAUGGUUGGAUGGUCAAGGUAUGGCUUGUCAAUUGGUUAAGGGUAAAUUUGAUUCUAUACUAGCUAAAGAAAAAGCUUAAAUGUUUAGGGAAUCUGAAUGAAAUGUAAUAGAGAAGAAUAAAAAAUGAAAAUGUUAGUAGUCCAUUUACCGAUCGAUAAUCGGAAUGGGUUGGAAUUAAAAUAGAUUUGAAUCGAAAUGGGUUGAAAUUAGAAUGGGGCAUAAGUUGUUAUAUUUUACAAACUUUUGAUAUUUGACUUUCUUCCUAUAAAGAACUCAAAUAAAAAAAUAAUCCCUUUGGUAAAAAUGGUGCACCCAUAUUAUUAUUAAUUAAAUGAAUAUUAUUAAUUAACAAUUAACGUCCUCUUUAGUAAUCAUACGAAUAGUUUUGUGAUGCUCUAGUAGGUCAAUUAAAGGUUCACGAACUUCAUAUGGGGAGGAAUAAAGGAAUUAUUAUAUAAAAUAGAGGUAAAGAAUCUCUAUAUAUAUUAUUUAAUGGUUGGAUGGUCAAGGUAUGGUUUGUCAAUUGGUUAAGAGUAAAUUUGAUUCUCUACUCCCUAAAGAAAAAGCUUAAAUGUUUAGGGAAUCGGAAUGAAAUGUAAUAGGGAAGAAUAAAAAACGAAGGUUUUAAUGGUCCAUUUAUCGAUCGAUAAUCGAAAUGUAUUGGAAUUGAACUAGAUUUUAAUUGGAAUGGAUUGAAUAAGAUUGAGACAUAAGAAUCAGAAUAGAUUAUUUGCUCUAGUUAUACGAAUUGACAUUAGAAUGAGCUGUAUGACCAUUUAUGUUUUUGUUUUAUCUUGAAAUCAGAAUGAAUUGUUAUAAGUUACUAGAAUUAUUUUAAAUGAUUAUUGUUAUUGUUUACUAUAAUAAUAAUAAUAAUAAUAAUAAUAAUAAUAAUAAUAAUAAUAAUAAUAAUAAUAAUAUUGUUAUUGUUGUUGUUGUUGUUGUUAAUAAAUGGGAUCAAAUGAAUUUUUUAAGAUAUCUUAAUAUUUUAUCUUAAAUUUUGUAAAUAAUGUGUCAUUCAUCAUAAUAGAGCACGUGAAAUAAUGAUAUAAUUUAAAAGAAAAAAGUGACCGUAAAAUAAUAUAACUAAUUCAGUUGAAAUUUAUGAAAAAAAUAAUUGAUUAAUAAAUGACAUAUCAUUUAAGAUAAAAUUUAAGAUAAAAAUAUAUGCUUAUAAAAUUACAAGGUAUAAUCAUCAGCACUCUUUUCUCGUUAUUAGUUACAUUUUUUUUCUUUGAUAACAACUUUUUUAACCGUAUAUUCAAUUUAUAUUUUCUUACUACGUAUGUAGGAAAACUUGUUAAAUAUAACAGUAACAGUGUGCUUAUCUAGGAACAACUUAUUACGAAAUGCCAAGGCAGGAGACUAUAUGUAAUUCUUUCCAACAAAAGUUUUGUGUGUUUCCUAAUAAUUAAGUAAUAAUUAGGGUAAGUGAAGACUCUACCUAAUGCCAAUACGGUACGGUAAAUCCUCUGUAAGUUAAUAAUGUCGUUAUCAUAUAAAAUUUAUUAAUUUAAAGAAGAAUUAAUUAAUUAUCGACUUAUUGAGAUUUGAGUGUUUAUACAAUUCACUGAAACAUAUAUGCAAGGGAUUUCAAAACAACUAUUAUCAUAUUAAUUUAACCUAUUAGCCCAAGUUGGGACUAUAAAUAAUUGUUAUGUAAUAGAGAUUAUUAAUUUAUCAAAUAUUAAUUUUUAGAGAUUAUAUGUUACCGAGGGGUUUUUUGGAGCAUGUAAAAGAGGUACAGUUUUCUUAAGCUCUUAAAUGGAACAGGCCUAUGCUAGUUGAAUGAUUUUCAAACAUAUUUAGCCGAUCAUCCAAAUCCAGAUCUUUUAAGAAAUAAAGAAAUUAAAAAAAUUGUGGAAGAUAUUAAAUCUAGCAGAUCCUCAACAAUCUGCUUUAGGCACAAGCAAUAUGUGUGUACAUUAGGACAAUUUCAACUAUCAACUAAUGAAGCUUGGUCGUAUGAAUUUAAUGGUAAGGGGUUAAUGAAACAAAACUAAUGAAGUAAAUUGGACUCUGGACAUGCUCUCUAAGCCAUGUAUGGAACAGUAUAUUUUGCUCAAAUUGUACUCUUUCAACGAAAAUGCCUAUGCAUUUUUUAGUAAAUAUGGUCUACCCCUUUUCAUUUAGAUAAUGGACAGUCCGACGAGUCCUUAAUUAAUUCUUUAAUCAGCAAAACUUUAGAAAGAAAAAGAUGAAACAAUGGCGACAAAAAUAAGAAUAAAAAUGGUACAAUGUUACAAUGUUAAUAAAAAAAUAAUACUAAUUUUAUAAUUUUUUUAUCAUUAAUAUGUCAGAACAGCUGAUCAGUAUAAUCAACACAUAUUUAGAAAAUUACUAUUUAAUUUACUCGAUGAUGAUGAAGUUUCUUGUAGGAUUGGACCCGUAUCACCGUAUGUGCAUGUAACCCAUCUUCAUGUAUAAAUUGGUAGCACUUAGCAGCCUGUAGCCGUCUCUGAUCUCCAUUUCGGAAGGGGAGAAAAAAAUAGGGAUGGCAACAUUCUCCACGGAUCCCUGAGCCAGCGGACUCCCGAUGAAUUUGGGUCGGCUGUGGGUCCUAAAAUGUCUAAAAAAUGAAAUUAGGGCUAUUUCGGGAAUAGGCUUAAGAGCUAAUAAAAUUUUAGGUUCGGGUUUGGGGAUUUUUAUUUUUAAUUAAAUAAAAAUUUUGAAAUAGAAUACAAAAAAUUCUAAAAUAUAAUUAAUUUGUUUUGUUAAAUUAGUUCCAAAUUUUGGUUAAGCUUUUUCAUAUUGAGGUUCAUAUGUUUCAAAUUAUUAGUCCACUAGUUUUGUGUUAGGUAUUUCUACUAAGUUCGUUCAAUACCAAUAUUUUGGGUUAGAUUCCAAGUAAUUUUCAUUUCCCAUUGGAUGAGUUCCUAAUUUUUGUUGGAUUUUCUCGUUUAUUGGUUCAAAUGUUUCAUCUAAUUAUUCCUCUAGUUUUGUGUUGAAUAUUCCCAUUAACUUGGACAGAUUCCAAUUAUUUGGGUUAAGUAUCGAAUUUGUUUUUCGUAAUUUUAUUUUCUCCCUUGUGGGGUCAUGUGUUUCAAUUAUAAUUUCACUAGUUUUGUGUUCAAUAUUCCAAUUAACUUGGUAGGAUUUCAUUUAUUUAGGUUAAAUACCGAAAUAAUUUUUUUUGUUAAAUUAGUUCCCAAUUUUGGUUAAACUUUUUCAUAUUUAGGUUCACAUGUUUCAAAUUAUUAGUCCACUAGUUUUUCGUUAGGUAUUCCUACUAAGUUCGUUCAAUACCAAUAUUUUGGGUUAGAUUCCAAGUAAUUUUCAUUUUCCGUUGGAUGAAUUCCUAAUUUUCGUUAGAUUUUCUCUCUUAUUGGUUCAAUCUUUCAUCUAAUUAUUCCUGUAGUUUUGCGUUGAAUAUUCCCAUUAACUUGGAUAGAUUUCAAUUAUUUGGGUUAAGUACCGAAUUUGUUUUUCGUAAUUUUAUUUUCUCCUUUGUGGGGUUAUGUGUUUCAAUUAUAAUUUUACUAGUUUUGUGUUCAAUAUUCCAAUUAACUUGGUAGGAUUUCAUUUAUUUGGGUUAAAUACCGAAAUAAUUUUUUUUGUUAAAUUAGUUCCCAAUUUUGGUUAAACUUUUUCAUAUUUAGGUUCACAUGUUUCAAAUUAUUAGUCCACUAGUUUUGUGUUAGGUAUUCCUACUAAGUUCGUUCAAUAUCAAUAUUUUGGGUUUGAUUCUAAGUAAUUUUCAUUUUCCGUUGGAUGAGUUCAUAAUUUUCGUUAGAUUUUCUCUCUUAUUGGUUCAAAUAUUUCAUCUAAUUAUUCAUGUAGUUUUGCGUUGAAUAUUCCCAUUAACUUGAAAGAUUUCAAUUAUUUGGGUUAAGUACCAAAUUUAUUUUUUGUAAUUUUAUUUUUGGUUAAAUAAGUCCCUAAUUUUGGUUAUAUUUUCUCCCUUGUGGGGUUAUAUGUUUCAAUUAUAAUUUCACUAGUUUUGUGUUCAAUAUUCUAAUUAACUUGGUAAGAUUUUAUUUAUUUGGGUUAAAUACCGAAAUAAUUUUUUUUUGUUAAAUUAGUUCCUAAUUUUGGUUAAACUUUUUCAUAUUUAGAUUCACAUAUUUUAAAUUAUUAGUCUACUAGUUUUGUGUUAGGUAUUCCUACUAAGUUCGUUUAAUGCCAAUAUUUUGGGUUUGAUUCCAAGUAAUUUCAUUUCCCGUUAGAUGAGUUCUUAAUUUUCGUUAGAUUUUCUCGCUUAUUGGCUCAAAUGUUUCAUCUAAUGAUUCCUCUAAUUUUGUGUUGAAUAUUCCCGUUAACUUGGACAAAUUCUAAUUAUUUGGGUUAUGUACCGAAUUUAUUUUUCGUAACUUUAUUUUUGGUUAAGUAGGUUCCUAAUUUGAGUUAUAUUUUCUCACAUUUACUUUUAUAUGUUUCAACUAUUAUUUUCACUAGUUUUGCGUUCAAUAUUCCAAUUAAUUUGGUGAAAUUUCAGUUAUUUAUGUUAAAUAUCAAAAUUACUUGUAUUACCAGAACCAAUAAUUUUAAUAAGUUGAAUUAUGUUUGAACCCUUACUAUUUUAUGAAAUAUCAACGUACGAUAUAAUAUUGAAAAAAUUUUAUUGUAACACUUAAUCUUUUCCAAUGUUUUGGGUCCAUAGCCUAAUUCCCUUUUAUAUAUAUCAUGAGAUCUCUUGAACUUGAUUGUAUAUAUACUUGAGCUUUUAAUCUCUAUACGUAUUUAUUCUCAUUUUAUUAUUUUAGUUGAUUAUUUUUAGUUAUUGUUAAAAUAAAUUAAUUCAUUUAUUUUCAUCUCUCUCUUUACUUUUUAAAAUAAUUUCUUUAAUUUUUCAAAACUUCGACAGUAAAUAAAAAAAUAACAUGUAAGAGUGCAUGCAAUUGCUAUGCUUCUCCAAAAAAUUAUUUUUAAAAAUUAUGAUGGCAUAAGUUAUAAAAAAAUAUUUAAGCUAACAAAAAUUGAAACUUUCUUAAUCUAUUUGUGUUAUAUUUUCUUCUUUUUUUUUUUGGGAUCAAUUGACUUCAGGAGAUUUCUUGAACUUGAAUUUAUUUAUACUUAACUUUUGAUCUUUAUAAAUGUUAUGCCCAUUUUAUAAUUCAAUUAAUUUUAUUUAUUUAUCUUUAAACUAAAAUAAAUCAAGGAUUAAGAUUUUUUGAAUUCAAAUUAAAUUUUUACCACUAUGUUUUCUUUUCAAAUUAGUUUUCUUAAUUUCUUAUUACUUUAACCAAAAUUUUAUCACUUGUAUUAUAAAUAUUAUACUUGUAUUAAUAUAUUAAUAUAUUAUACUUGUAUUAUUAAUUAUAAUCCCUAUAUUAUAAAUAUUAUAAAUAUUUAUAAUAUUUAUUAUAAAUAUUAAUUAUUAUUUUUAUUAAUUAUAAAUAUUAAUAUAUUAUACUUGUAUUAUUAUCACUAUUAUUAUUAUUUUUUACUCUUACUAAAAUUAUUAUUAUUACUAUCUUGCCCCAUGAGAUUUGUUAACAAUUUUUUUUUAAUAAUGAGUAUCCUUCUUUUUUGUUUUUAAGUAUGGAUAUAAUUUUUAAUUUAUAAAAUAAGUUCUUAAAUUUUCAAGACUUAACUAAAAUAAUUUUUAAGAGUUUAUUAUGGCUAAUAUGGUUAUGAAAAUUUAUUACUAUAGUAGCAACACUUUAUACCAUACCAUUUCAUAUUUAUUACAACACCAAAAUUAUUUUAUUUAUUUUAUAAUUAUCCUAUGAACUGUGAAAAUUAACUUUUAUAUUAAAAUGAAAAAUUUGUAAAUUAGUAUUACAUUGAUCCAAUUCUACUAAGCCACAAUUUAUUUAUCUUUAAUGAAUGCUUUAAACACAGUAAACGCAAUUCAAAUUCAACAAUAUUUUGUAAAAUAAAAACAUAAAAAAAUCAAUGCAAUCAAGAAAAAAGAAAAUAUAUUAAACAUUAUUUUUUCUUCCUAAAUUAAAUAUUGAAAGGAUAUUUUUCUCUAAUAGGUAAAUUCAACACCGUAAUUUAACAAUAAUGUCGACUUUUAUUUUUAAAACUAUUUUUUUAUUACUCCGAAUUGCAAUACAUUUUUAUAGGUCCCAAAAUUAAAUAACCAAUAAUGAAAGUAUCUUUAUUUAUUUCAAUAUCAUUAUUCUUUACUUCAUGAGAUAUGAUCAUACAUUUGAUUUAUCCCUUUAAUACAAACAAAAAUAAGUUUAAUCAUUUUUCACGAACUUAACAAAAAAUUAUCUUUAGUAAGCUAAAAUUAUUUUUUAAAAGCUCAAUAUUAUUUGGAUGGGAUAUUCCCAACUAAUAUGGUGGUUACAACAUACNNNNNNNNNNNNNNNNNNNNNNNNNNNNNNNNNNNNNNNNNNNNNNNNNNNNNNNNNNNNNNNNNNNNNNNNNNNNNNNNNNNNNNNNNNNNNNNNNNNNNNNNNNNNNNNNNNNNNNNNNNNNNNNNNNNNNNNNNNNNNNNNNNNNNNNNNNNNNNNNNNNNNNNNNNNNNNNNNNNNNNNNNNNNNNNNNNNNNNNNNNNNNNNNNNNNNNNNNNNNNNNNNNNNNNNNNNNNNNNNNNNNNNNNNNNNNNNNNNNNNNNNNNNNNNNNNNNNNNNNNNNNNNNNNNNNNNNNNNNNNNNNNNNNNNNNNNNNNNNNNNNNNNNNNNNNNNNNNNNNNNNNNNNNNNNNNNNNNNNNNNNNNNNNNNNNNNNNNNNNNNNNNNNNNNNNNNNNNNNNNNNNNNNNNNNNNNNNNNNNNNNNNNNNNNNNNNNNNNNNNNNNNNNNNNNNNNNNNNNNNNNNNNNNNNNNNNNNNNNNNNNNNNNNNNNNNNNNNNNNNNNNNNNNNNNNNNNNNNNNNNNNNNNNNNNNNNNNNNNNNNNNNNNNNNNNNNNNNNNNNNNNNNNNNNNNNNNNNNNNNNNNNNNNNNNNNNNNNNNNNNNNNNNNNNNNNNNNNNNNNNNNNNNNNNNNNNNNNNNNNNNNNNNNNNNNNNNNNNNNNNNNNNNNNNNNNNNNNNNNNNNNNNNNNNNNNNNNNNNNNNNNNNNNNNNNNNNNNNNNNNNNNNNNNNNNNNNNNNNNNNNNNNNNNNNNNNNNNNNNNNNNNNNNNNNNNNNNNNNNNNNNNNNNNNNNNNNNNNNNNNNNNNNNNNNNNNNNNNNNNNNNNNNNNNNNNNNNNNNNNNNNNNNNNNNNNNNNNNNNNNNNNNNNNNNNNNNNNNNNNNNNNNNNNNNNNNNNNNNNNNNNNNNNNNNNNNNNNNNNNNNNNNNNNNNNNNNNNNNNNNNNNNNNNNNNNNNNNNNNNNNNNNNNNNNNGUUCUUCAACCAUAAUAUGACUUCCUGGCAACUCAAUAAUAUUACAUAUUAAAACUAUAACCUAUAUUAUGGAUUCAAAAAAUUACAUAACUAAAAAAAGAAUUAGAUAGAAAGAACAAACUUGCUAUUGUCAUCUCAUUAUAACACUCAAAUAAACACUUUUGGAAGAGCUUGCUCUAUCAAGAACACAUGCAUACAAUCACAAUUUGAUUCACCUCCAAAAGCCAAUCAAUCAAUCAAAAAUGGAAGCUGCAAUUAGAAAGAAAGAUGGAAUGCAAAUAACUAAAUAUUUUAAAAAUGGAAACUUUUAAGAGAAAAACUAUAGAAUGUUACCUUAACAAUUCAAGAGACCAGUCUAAGCACAAGACAAGACAAACAAAACAAUAAAGGAUGUCAGUUUUAAUGAUCAAUAGAAUUGCAAGACUAAAAUAUUAGAAAUAAAGACAAUAAGUAGCUCAAUUCAAAGAAAUCAAGGUAAUAUACAAAAUUAAAAGGUAAUACAAAUAUUCUUCCCUCAAUAAAAUCUUGGGUCCCAACAUCAACUAGGGUAGACACAAUGGCCUUUGCAAAAUUCAUAAAAAGGGUAUAAACAAUGAUGAAAUAUUCAGGUUACAAAAACACCAAAUUCAAAAUAUUCAACUAUAAAUUACAACAAUAAAGAAAACAGCUUCAAACCCGAAGACUCUUUUACUGGCUCGAUUUUGGAUACAUCUUAGAUGCCUUCACCUACUUUUGACCUUCACCUACUUUUGAAGGUAGUGGUGUUCUAUUUUGAGCCCAUAGCCUCCGACGUUCCAUUUCCUCACAAAGGAUUCUGUCAAAAAAUACAUAACAAGAUUCAGUAAAUAAAUCUUUUGGAACAAAAACAUAUAUUUAACAAUUAUCUUUAAAAAAAGGAUUUAAAACCACAAUACUAAAUUGACACAGCUUUGCAUUGGAGAAAAAAGAAGCGAGAUUCAGAAUUAUAAACUAACAAGUUUUCAAAAGUUCAUUCUCAAUCCAAAUGUUAAGAUGCAAAAAAUUCAGGCAAAUUCCAUUCCACCAUCAGCUAUGAAUACUUGGCUCCACAAAAAAGAAUUAAAUAGAUUAUACAGAAUAUCGCUCACUUGGCUCUAUACCAAAGCCUGGAAAAAAAAGUUCAUGGCUCGAAUUUACAUCGGCCCGCAUAUGUUGUAUUAUAUUAUUUGGUGCUAUAUAUAUAUAAACACAGUUCAUCUACUGACCUAAACUUUUACCCUUUGCAUAAUGUUGGCUACACAAUACAUGACCUUUGCACAAUUAAAAUUUUUUAAAAAUAAAAUAAAUUAUCGAACUCUGCUGCAUUCACAUUCUAAAAAACUGAUAACUUAUUUUGCAUUUACAUAUGUAGCAGAAAACAAAUAAAUAAAGGUUUUCCUACCUAGCUUUGUUUUCUUUCUGGACUUUUCGUAUCUCCUCAUCUUGUUGCAAUCCCUGCCCAUAUUUUAUGUGAUUACGUGCUGAAUUAAAAUAAAAAAAAAGCAGCUGUACCAGAUGUUUGCAAAGCAAACGCAAAUAUUUAUACUUAAUGAUGGCUGUGGGACACAGUGAAUGUAUGGGCAUUGUGGAAAGUUUGAUUAAUCCCAAAGCGAUUAUAAUUGUGAAAUUUCCGUCACUUUUUGAAUAAUUUAAGUUCUAACAUACUGCUAUCCACGAUGGAAAUUGUUUAAUAUGAAUGGGUGGCCCAGUGGUAAGGGUGAAUGUAGGGUAAGAUGUAAACUCAUGUCUGGGUUUGACUCACACAUGAUGCAAAACUGUUGAACGCCAAUAUUAUAUCUUGCUGGAGGUUGCAUAUACUUGAGGGUUUAUGUCUGUUAACCGAAAAGAAAAGGAAUCCCUUUGUUCUCAUACGGUUGACCCUUUAUUAUCAUAAGGUUGACUUGAUUUUAAGUUGUUCUAUUCUGAUUAAGAGUUUCUGCUUUUGCAGCAUGAGUUGGCGACUAGAACCGUUGACAGUCAUGUGUGGGAUGAAAUUCGUAACUUCAAGAAAUGCCUUAUCAUGAUGUUUGCAAAGCAAGAGAAGGAAUUAGUGUUUCUCGAAACAGUGAUGGGUUUGGGACAACAGCGUCGCCAUUGUUUGAUUGAGUGCAUUCCUUUGCCCCAAAAAAUUGCGAAACAGGCCCCUGUCUAUUUCAAGAAGGUUAGAUUCCGUCAUUCAUUCUCUCUCUAUUGUUCUUCUGGUUCUCCUUGUCUAUAUUAUGCUUCACUUUAUUGUUAACUGUGGUUAAUUUGACUGGCCUAAGUAAAGAUGUUUUUGCUGCCCUUAACUUUGUGUAGGAUUCCCAUUUAUUGCCAAAUUAGUUGCACAUUUGUGUAAAACAAAAUUGGACGUUGGCAUGGCAUUUACAUAGCUUGCAUAAUAAAGUAAUGUCCCAUAAAGUUCAUGUUUUUGGACUGAUCUUCCCAUCCACAUGAACACCCUUUUUUGUUUGCAUGUACAUGUAUGUGCAAUUCUUUCUGUCUCAAUACAUACAGUACAAGUAUCUGAAAUGAGCUGUUUCAGGCAAUUGAUGAAGCUGAAGAUGAAUGGAGCCAGCACAAUGCAAAGAAGUUAAUUGAUACAAGUGUGAAGGGCUUGCGUGGUUCAAUUCCAAAGGACUUUCCUUACUUCCACGUUGAGUUUGGUCUAAAUAAGGGUUUCGUCCAUGUAAUUGAUGACGAAACACAGUUUGAAAGCAGCUUCGAACUAAACGUCAUAAGAGGCAUGCUUUGCCUUCCUGAGGAAGACAUGUACCGUCGUAGGAGGCAUGAAUCUGUGGAGACACAAAAGCAAGCGGUUGCAACUUUUGCGCGGGACUGGGAACCGUUUGACUGGACAAAACAACUUGAAUAGAAAACUGUGCAGUGGGUCUAAAGCAAUUCAGGACUUCAGUUUUAACUUAAAUUGAUGAACUUGGCCAAUGGUCUUUUAUAGCCCGUUGGUAACACACAUGCAUAGGCUGGAGUUUCAGCAAUAUGUUAUAUUUGUAGUGUUGUACAUAGGGCGUGUUUGGUGCAUGAGAUUGUGUGGUAUUAUAUCACUAUUCACAUUAGUUUAUUACCAAGAAGAUGUUUGGCAGAAUUUAAUACCUCAUUAUACUGCAUUAUAAUGCAGUAUAAUGAGGCGUGGGGCCGCAUUACGCAAACCCGAGGGAACCUCGGGUUUGUGUAAUGCGGAAGCUUUUUGCCUCAAUUGAGGCAACAGUUAAUGCCUCAAUUGAGGCAAAUUUAUUUUAUUAAAAUAUUAUAAAAAUAAAUUAUUUUAUUACUAAAUACUAAUAUAAUGAAUAAAAUAUAAAAAUAAAUUAUAUGAUAAUAUUAUUUUAUUUAUUAAUGAUUAAUUAUUAAUGUAAAUAAUAUUAUAAUAUUAAUAUAUUAUUUACAUUAAUAUUAAUUUUAAAAUUAAUAUUAUUUAAAUUUAUACAAAUUUAAAUAUUUAUAAUUAUUUAUAUUAAAUUAUAAAUUUAUUAAUAUAUUAAAAUGUAAAAAUAAUAAUAUAUUGUAAAUUAAAAUAUAAUUUAAUAUUAUUGAAUAAUAAUUUAUUAAUUUAUAUUAACAAUUAUAAUAUUAAUUAUAAUCUAAAUUUAUUAUUUACAUAUAAUAUUAAAUUUUAUAAAUUUGUUUUAUCAUAAUUAUAAUACAAAUUUUAGAAAUUUAAUCAUUAAUUUUUAAUAUUUACUAAAAAAUUGUUAAAUUUCUACAAUUAAGAUUUCUAUAUUUAUUAUUUUUCUAAGUAUUAAUAAAUAUAAUUUUUAAUUAUUUAAUUUAAUUAAUCAUAAAAAUUAAUACAAUACAAUGUAACGCCAAAUAUAGUUUAAUUAAAAAUUAAUACAGUACAGUGUAGCAGCAAACAUUGUACAGUAUUGUUAUAAUAUAAUGCUAAUGCAAUACAGCAUAAUACAAUACACCAGCAUUAAAAUAAUGCAAUACAGCAUAAUACAAUACAGUGUGCCAAACGCACCCAUAGUUUUUUAUUUCUAGUGAUAUGUCAUCAAAUUUUUGUCCUGGGUAUGGUAAAUUUUAUUUUCUCAUCGUUAAUAUUGAUAAUUUUAUAUCUCUACACACUUGUUAGAUGCAACUUCACUUGGGGUACAUAAUUGUGUGCUUCAACUAUCUAAAUUCAGAAUUACUUAGUCCCUUAUUACGGUUACUCAAAAAGGGCUUGUCGCUGACUAGUUUACAAUUAAUUCUAAUUCCCUUUGUAAAUUAAAAUAUUAGGUUUUUCAAUCAAUAUUAGGUUUUCUCAUUGCAAUUAGGAUUUAAAAUUAUAAUUUGAUCGAAGAUUAAGACUGUGUUGAGUUAAGCUACAAGCACCAAUACAAUUAAUUCUGAUUCCCUUUGUAAAAUAAAAUAUUUUCACCCUUUAUUAAUUAAAUCUUUACUCCCCGUCAAUUCUUCUCCAAAUCACAUAACGCAUGUUUGUAGCACUAAUCGACUUAAUUAUUAAUUAAAUUUUUUAUUUGCAUAUCUGCUGGUCCAUUUGUUACCGAAAGGGAACCACUACCAAUGUCAUCUCUUUGAUGCGACAAUUCCCAUCGUUCAAUUCUUCGCCAGACUCUGAAGCAUUGCACUUUUGGCGACAUCUGAUCUGAAUGUGGGCUUGCUUCUGCUUGUUUCUGAAAAACAACCUGUUAUCUAUUCAAAUCCUGAUAAUAUGAAUCUAAAUUUGGACUCGUUAUCGACUCCCACAUAUUCUUGCAAUUGUAUGUGAUUGCAUUAAAAAUGGUAUGAAAUGACAUUUUGUUUUUCCCUCUUUCCAUUGGGUAUAAAAUUAAGUAAUCGUGAAUAUCCUUCCAUUUUCUCAAAUUUUCCUUAAAUUUUUUUUUUGCCUUAAGAAAGCUUACCAAAUGAAAAGAUGAGUAAAGGGAUUUGACUGAGGAAUUUUUGUCAAAUGUGGAGGAUGGAAGCCAAACAGACGUGUUUCAUUAGGCAAUAAGCAGGCGCUGCAAUUCAGCUUAUUUAUUUAUUACAAAAUUAUAUAAGAAUACACGAAAAGAGCCCUUUUAAGUUUUACCUUGCUCGUAUGUUUUUAUUACUUGCGCUAAUAAGCCACCGAAAAAUCAAACGUCGGUGACCGGUGGCGGAGGAGGGGCGCAAAUCCUUCCCUUACCGGGAAUCAUACUGCAAGGAUUACCGCCAAUAGGUGGCACGGGAGCCCUCUGGAGGGUCGCAUGGCUAAUAAGGUUACGAAUAUGCGGCUUCGCAUGCAAUGGCCUCAAGGCUGAACCUAGUUGCAUUGUGCUGCUUGAAGCGAACAAAAUGAUGAACAUGAACAAAAUUGUGAAGAAGCGAAUGUUUGUUCUAUGGAACUCCAUUUUUUUUUUUUGGGUGAGUUUGAUGGAGAUUUCUUGUGUGCAUAUAUAAAGGCUUCAGGGCUUUGUCUCUCCAUCUUUUAAAACCAAGACUAUUCUUGCAAAUAUAGAAAAUAAAACCUGUAACAUUUAACAAAAAGAUUCUAGAUUUUCUUGAUUGGCUUAUAAACUUUGGAAUAUGAUAUACUCGACUGUUCGACAACUCAUUUAACAAAUCGAUAUACUAUUUUUAUUGCUGGAAGGAUGAAGUCAUAAAAGAUGCCUAUUUGUUGUUGAUUAUCUUUUCCACAAUUAUUAUCCUCAAAUGAAUAAAAGAAUGACUCUCUGUCUUUAAAAAGGAUCAUGACUAUUAUAACAUGAAAAUGUAUGAAUAAAAAGUAAUGAUAAAAUCACAAUUACUUUGUACAAAUAAUUGUACACAAAUUGAUAUAAUAUGAGAAUAUUAGUUGUAUAAAAUUAUCAUAAAUAAGUUUAUAUAAUUAAAAAAAAUAACUGUUAUUAUUUUUCAGCUGAUCUUUUUAUACUACAUUAUUUUGUAUACAUUAAGUUGCAUAAAAUAGGUUGAUAAAUUAAGGAUUAGAACUAUUAUGAUACUCAAAUAUAUAUUUCAAAAUUUAACACUAUUUUAGUAUGCAAAAGGAUAAAAGACACCCAAUUCAAGUGCCUCUCAUUCAAUCAUGUUAAUCAAAAGCAGCAAACGCAAACACACACUUCCCUCUCUAUUUAGAAACCCACCUCAAAGCCCUUCACCAAAUGCAAAACCCAGUAACCAAAACACAAAACCAAUCUCUGUUUUGGGUCCAAACAAGUUGGAGUACCGUGUAAGGCACCACUGUAAACCAGGUGCAAUCAGUCCCAAAAAAGCCCAAGAAUAUUUUCGUCAACUGAUCCAAACCAAACCCAUUCCUAAUAUUGAUACGUUCAAUUUCCAAGCCUAAGCGUUAUGAUGUGUUGUUUUCAAUGUACAAGGAAUUAUAGUGUUGUGAAAUUAGGCCUGAUUUGUACACGUUUAAUAUUUUGAUCAAUUGUUUUUUUCAAACGGGGAAAAUAAAUUGUGGGUUUUUUGUAUUUGGUGAGAUUAUAAAGGGGGAUUUUAAGCCUGAUUUAAUUACUAUGAGUACUCUGUUUAAUGGUUUGUGUUUAGAUGGUAAAUUGUUUGGUGCGGUUGAGUAGUUUGAUUUGACCGAACAACGUUUUAAAGGUAAUUUUCAUGUCUAUGGGAUUCGCAUUAAUGGGAUGUGCAAGAUUCGUGAGAUUGAUUCUGCUAUUAAGUUGCAUAGGAGGAUGACUUGUGAGGCUGAUAUGGUUACUUACAGUGCAAUAAUUGAUGGUCUUUGUACAGAUGGAUCUGUUGAUGACGCAAUAAAAAUGUUCGCAGAAAUGAUAGGAAAGGUAUUUGCCUCGAUGUUUUUGUUUAUAGUUCGUUGAUUAAUGGGUUGUGUACCUUUAAUAGAUUAAAGGAAGCUGUUGAGCUUUUUGAUAAAAUGGUUUCUCAAGGUAUUACUGCUGAAUUAGUCACUUAUAACUCACUGAUUCAUGGUUUUUGUUGAAUGGGAUUGUGGAAGGAGGCAACUAGGAUUUUUUUAUCAAAUGUUAGGUGAAGGAAUUUCACCUGAUGUUGUAACGUUCACAAUACUAAUAGAUUGUGUAUGCAAAGACAGAUAAUUGGGAGAAGCAAGGAAGAUUUUCAGUUUGAUGAUUAAGCACUGAAGGGAGCCUAGACUAUUAACUUAUAAUUCACUCAUCAAUGGAUUAUAUUUGGUUGGUCAAGUGGAUGAUGCUGAAAAGCUGUUUUGAGUCGAUGGUAGAUAAAGGGACUUGAGCUCGAUGUUUUUACCUACAAUGUAAUGGUUAAUGGCUAUUGCAAGAGUUUGAAGACUGAAAAAGCUAUUAGCAUCUUUCAAGAAAUGCUUCAUUAGCGAUUGAAGCCCAAUACAGUUAGUUACAACAUACUUAUAACAGACUUUUGUCAAGUUCGAAGAGUAGCAGAAGCACAAAAAAUCUGUUCAAUGAUCUGCCUGCAGCUGAUCUAUUUCCGGAUUUAUUCACAUAUUCAGCUAUGAGAGAUGACCUUUUCAAAAGUGGCCACGUCGAAUAGGCAAUGGCUCUGCUUCAGACCCUUGAGAGAGACAAGUUUGAGCUGAAUAUUGAGGUUUACAGUUUAGUCAUUGAUGGGUUAUGUAGAGUGGGCAGAUGGGAAGAAGCUAGAAAGAAGUUAGAUCAACUGUCAGGGAAAGGUUUGGUUCCUGGUGUUGUAACAUAUAGCAUUCUGAUCAAUGGCCCCUGCAAGAAAGGGAUGAUAAUGGAGGCUGAUAAGUUGCUUGUCCAAAUGGAAGAGAAGGGAUGAUUUCCAGCCUCUAUAUCAUUCAACACCGUUAUUUGGGGUUUUCUUGUGAAAAAUGAAACUGAUAGAGCAAUGCAGCUUCUUGAAAAAAAAAAUAUGUAAGAGGAACUUCUCACCAAGUGAACAAGUAACUUGAAUGCUGCUAGAACUCUAUUUUGUAGAUUCUCAAUGACGUGCAACCAUUGAGGCACUCCCAAAUGUUCUUCAGGGGAACUCUUUUACUGUAAAUUCUGUACAAUGAUAUGGGGCAAGUGACGGAGAGAGAUAGCAAUAAUCGGUAACUUUACUUUCAUCUGUGAGAAUUGAGAUAAUAAAAAAUAUGUCCUUUUUAUUCCCUAAAUGUAAUGGUGUUCAAAUUUGCACGUUCAAGAUGUAAUAGUUUUCAGAUUUGCACGUUCAAGCAUUUUGUCAUAUUCAUGUUGUUGCAAUUGGAUAUUUGUUUUAUUACACAUGAUACAGUUGUUUAAGAUUGUGUACAUUUGCAGUUUCCUUUUCCUACUUCAAUUCUAAGUGUGGGUGAAUGAUAAAUAAUCAUCACAUCAUAUAUUAUUGCUUUUAUCUUGGUGAAUUCUAAUGUGCCAAGAGUUUGCCCAUGCUGCCGUGUCCCCUUCACUUCUUCCUUAUCUGCUUUGUCACCCUUGUAUUGAGUUUUGUCGGCAAGGUUCUGAUUUCGGAAAUUUGUAUAAAAUUGUCUGCCUACAGUGCCUGUUCUUUUGCCCUUGCAGACAAGUUAAAUGACUCAAUCCUAAGCUUGCUCACGCAUCUUAUUAGUCUGACUGAUUCCACUAGUUGAAGUCAAUGCUUCACUGGAAGUAAGUAUUCCAAAUUUUUAAUUUUGAGUAUACAAACUCACUGAAUAAUUAAAGACGAAGACAAACGUUGAGCAAUUAUAUGCUGUAGAUCUGCUUUCUAAGCACCAAGCUGAAAGCUAAGGGACUUAAAGUCCUUUUGCUGCAUUUACUUAUUGGGAAUGAAGAAAAAUCUGUAUCCCUCUACAAAACUCAGCACAUUCAUUACAUGAUUUACAUUAUAAGUAAGAAAAAGGAGAGGUUAGCAUUCACUGCUCAAAUCUAAAUUUAAUUACUUAGAUGCUAUUUGCGAGAAAUCCUCUUUCUACCACGAGCCCUACUAGCUGGAACACCUAUUGAAGUGCUUGUAAUAUCCUUUGUGGGUUGUUCCUCACUCUUGUCAUCAUCACUGCCUCCAUCAAAACUCUCAGUUUUGUCUGUAGACUCUUCCUCUUCUUGUUGCAAAUCCCCCAUGACUGCCUGUUUUGAAAGCUUGUCUCGAAGCUCUCUGAGUUUUGAUUUCUUUGAAUUCAACACACCAAGGAACUAGAAGCAGGAAAAAACUUGAAGUCAGUCUUACAUACUAAGAGAGUAGAAAUUUGAUGAUCCCCAGAUCCUAUUCAUCCUUUGAUAACUUGCAUGCCCAGAGUUCAAAAGAUCAUGAAAUUACAACUAUGACUAAAUGGAUCUUCUGGAAACAUAAACUAUGGGAAAUCUCAACCAUACAUAUAAGAAUUCAGCAUUCAUACAUUUUCAUUGGGAAAACUGAAUUGGAAAGAGCAGCUUCAUCAGAAACAUCUGAUGACGUCCCUAGUUUUAAAGUUUUAUUCUUUUGGUCUUUGUCUUGGAUCUCCUGUUAGAGAGCAAUAUUACCAGUGUUAUUUAUUCACGCACCUUUGAGUAGAUUGCUGAUUCAAAUUCCACCUUCUCAUUUUUAAAUCUCUCACUUUGUGCUAAACAUUUCUGAGUCUCCACUUUCAGUCUCUCAAAUGAUUGAGUUUUUGUGACAACUUCAUCCUAUAAGCAAAAGUGAUAAAACAUGAAAGAGUUAUAAUAUGACAGAACUUCAUUGCCAAACUAAUUGAUAUAGGCAUUUCAUCUGCAUCUAUCAAUCCAAAGAAACAACAAGGAUAAUAGAACAAAAUGUUCAAUGUCAUUUACAGCCAAACAUUUAUACCAUGUGUAUAUAAUUUAGAGGUGAAAGGCUGCUUCACCUAAUCCAAUAUAGCUCAUUGGUACAGAAAAUUCUAUAAAGAAAAUGAACAAGCCUGGCAGGACCAUUCAUUUGAGUUAUAAAGAACGGAGUUGAAGCAGCCAGGCUAGGGCUUCUUCAAACUUGGCCAUUAGUACUGCAGCUGAUUUAAAAUUUUCCACAAUAAGACAUGUUGCUACAAUCACUUAGCUAAAAGUAUAAAAUAAGAUUCCUCAAGUAGCCAAAAUCCGAUUCAAGCUCACAUACUGUGUGUGUGAAAAUUGAAAAAUGUCUCAGCUUAAUCCAUAAUGAAUAAAAAUCAUUAUAGAUGAUUCUAACAACCACUAGGACAGCCAACAGACCAUGGAGCAGCAAUUCGUCACUGAUAAGAAACAAAAGUUGAAGUUAAUCAGCAUGUUUGAAUUACAUUCCUUGUAACCACUACUCGCUCUUCCAACCUAAAGUCUGGACCACCUACAGAGAAAGUGAACUUCUAAAGAUAUAAAUGUCUAUCAUGGAAAUUAUAUUUAGCAUUGUCCUCAUGAAACAAAAUACAAAGAACCAAGUCAAUGUACAACCAUUGAUAGUUUUGAAUCAAACAUCAAGAGAAAUAAAUCCCUUCCAUUGAAUAUAAACGAACCCAGUAUGGACAGAUCCCAAGUCUUUUCUUUCACUGCCCUUCAAACAUUACUUACAAUAUGCACCAAGUCAUUGAAAUCUAACGAACAUUACAUACACACUAAUAAAGUAAAAUUGUUUCAACUAACAAUCUUCAAAAUUUCAGCCAACAAAAAAGCAAAAGAAUCUUACACUGAGUCUAAUGUUUGCAUCCAUAAGAAAGUCCAAAAUUCCUGCAGUAACCUUCUUGCUAUUAGGUGCCGGUCCGAAUUUCCACCGCCAUUCAAGCUUAGUCCCCUCCUUCUCAAAUGUCCAUGACAACUGCAAUACAUCACAAUCACAGACAUACCCACAUAAUUUUAAACUUCACCUUUUUCCAAUUUCAAUUUCGAUAAACUAACGUAAAUUUUAAAAUAUAAUAACAAAAACUUACUCUUUUACAUCCAUCAGCAGCAUCAGUAAAACCGUAAACAGAACCAGGCUGCUGAAACCCUAAAUAGCGCUCGGCCAAUUUGAUGUACUCGGUCACCGGCUGGUCCCACUGCGCCGCCCUAUCUUUCACCUGCUCCUCAGACGCUGUCGAAAAGACGAAAACGCUGUUGCUUUGAGACACACCCAAAAAGAAAAAUGACAAAUUUAAAUUUAAAUUUGUUACAGGUUUUAACUUAUAAUACCGUUGCAGAGCCAAGCGUUGAGACCGUCGGUGAUGGAGAGAUCGAAGUGAGUUUGAAACCACGUGCCUUUGGCGAAAAUGGGAUCCGUGGCGUCGGGAAUCUCCAGCUUUAGACAUGUAUGUCUCGUCUCCAUUUUUUCUGACCUCCUUCCUCGAGAAGCCCCAAGUGCGAGUGCAGAAAUCUUCCCGCCUUUUCGAGUUGCGUGUUUUGGAAUUUGGACUUUUCGCACAUAUUUAUAUAGAUCCUAUACAUAAAAAGUAGGAUAUGACCAUGUCUAUGAAAAUUGAAAAUGAAUAAUUAUUUUUUUAAAGAUAAAAGUAUAAAUUAUUAACAUUUUAUUAAUUAAACACAUAGGCGUAUUACACAAUAUUUGAAAUCAAGACCUAAAUUUUGUUAAGGCUGUCCCCUAAUUAAUGGGAUUAAGUAAUGGUUUUUCAUCGAAUCUAUUGGAUAAUUUCACACAUUAAAAAACAAUGAAUUUUUUUAAAAAAAUGUUAAAGUGAAAUAUGUUAAUGCUUGUGUCCAUUCUUUGGCCAAAUUAGCCUUAAGAGGAAAUACCUCUAUUACCUGAUUAGAAACAAUACUAGCAGAGGUUUCAAGUGUAAUGGGGUUGUGAUUAAUGGAAAUAUUUACUAUCUUAUAAAGAAAAAAAUUACACCAUCUAUUCUAUAAAGAUGGAAUUAUUUUUAACACAACAACCAUUAUAAUAUUUUUUUAAAAAUAAAAUGAAUAUAAUGAGAAGUGACUUACUUUGUUGGAGGGUAUUAUAUUUAUAAAAAAAAUGGACAAAGACUCUAAUAUUUAUAAAAAAAAAGGACAAAGACUCUAAUAUUUAAAAAAAUAUAUAAAUUUUUUACUAAAUUAUUAAUCUUUUUCAAUGUUACGUUGAAUUUUAAUGUGAUUUUCUUUUUACAGUAGAAAGAAAAUAAAAAUGGAAAUCAAAGUUAUAUCUUUUGAAGCUCGAAUGGAAUAGCCUAGUUGGUUAUAAAUCAAUCACGAUAUUUCUUUUUUUAAUUCAUGUUUGUGCUGGGACGAAUUUUUUUUGGAUAGAUUUAUUAUUCAAUUCAUUAAAUAAUUAACGAAACUUGAAAUGUGAUAUCACACAAAAGUGGCCCCAACAAAAAAAAAAAAACAGAACACGUGUCAGAGUCCCAGUUUGAAAGCCACGUGUAUCACCAAACGCACUAGCAUAAUAACACUAACAUAGUUAGCAGCAGUAAGCUAAUCAUAGCAUUAUCAUCCACAAGAAGAAGCCCAGCCAAAAAAAAAUGUCUUUGAGGUUCUGCAACUCUCACUCACUGUAUCAUCUUCUUCUGGUUCUCGUAAUCUUCUGUUCCAUUUCUGCAAUCUACGCUAAAGCAAAUGAAGACCCAACAAUCAGAACUAUGGAGGCUUUCUCAGGGUACCCAAUUCAUGAAUCAAACUCAUUUGUUACAAACUUGGCUUCUUCACUCUCAGUUGAUGCUGAAACUCUCCAAAAACGGGUACUGAGAAAAUCUAUAGCAUUAUGGACGAGUAAAAUAAUGUGGGUUUUUUAUUUUCUUAUUACAAUAUAUAUAUUUUUAAUGCGUGUGGUUUUGGCUUCUUUUUUUUUUUUUUUUUUGGGCUAGAUCGAUGAACUGUCAACUUUCUCGGACACUCCUGCCCCAUCAGUUACUAGGGUCUUGUACACUGAGAAUGAUGUAUUGGCACGCAGGUAACUAUUUAAGAAGUUACAGUUCUUGUGCAUGUUCUAAUUGUCUGCAAAUCUUAAUAGAAAGUUACAGUUUUUAUAUUGUUUUUUCAUUAAUUAUUCGUAUAUCGAAUCCUUUAUAAUAUUUCAUCUGAUGGGGUUGUUUCUUGUAGUCCUUAAAGGUAAUCAUUUAUUUUACAACAUGAAUAGGCCUAUUUUACCGAGUUAUCAGUGUUUUCGAAUGAAUUAUUCAGGUUAGGCCUUGGAGAAUUCUGUAUGUGAUGCUUUAUCUGAUUGUUUGUCAAGAGAUAUUUAUUCCCUUUGCAUGCUUUAUCAGUGGCCCCCUCAUGUCUAGAAGGAUAUAUACAGGACAUUACUCUUGCUUCUAAUCCAGCAGCAGUUGUCUAAUAUUUCCGGCCAUUCUAAGUAGUUAUUAACUUACAAUGCUAUUUAAGCUCAUGUGUUGAGAACAUACUAUUAAAGCCUUACAGUAUAUAUUCAAUCAUAUUUGAAAAUUUUAUUAUGUGUAGAGGAUUAUCUAGUUAACUCUUUAUAUGCCAUUGCUUUCUGAAUUUUUUUUUUUCCCCAAUUGCUCACCUAAAUUAAGGAUUUAUGCUGUCUGUUUGCAAUAUUUUAAUGCAGCUACAUCAAGAACUUGAUGGGGCUUUCAGGUCUCUCUGUUAGGGAGGAUGCAGUUGGUAACAUAUUUGGUAGAUGGUGAGAUUUCAUCUUCCUUCAGAGGAGUUUGGUUAUCAUGAAUUUUUUGCCAUACUCAUGCUCUCUAAAUGAACCCAAUUGAACUCAAGAUUGCCCUAACCUGUGUUAGUUCGCAUGGAUGGAAGUUCUUGGUUUCAUUUAUUCUCACUUAGAGUUUCAGUUCCUGUAACUGUGUUCAGAUUGACAUGUCAUCAAAAUGGAAAAAGAAAAUCAUAUUAUGAGUAUAGAGUGUGGUGUACUGCAUUUUUUGAGAAAAUGCCAUAAUUCUCACAGCAACUUGAAGUGCACUCUCCAUAUGGUAUUGUGUUUUUCACAAAGGGUAAUCUAGUUGACAAUUGGUGUUCUCUUUUCCUGUCAUUUUCCAAAUUUUUGGCCUUUUUGUUAGAGUAGUGAAGUUUCUUUCAAGGAUGUCUGCAUUCAUUGAAGGGAUUUUUUUUUUUUUUGGCAGUAAUAGUUUGGAGUAUCAAAGCUCACAAUACCACCUUUUUUCUUCAUUUCUCUGAGACAAAUGUUUCGCAAUUUCUGUUGUGUAUCCUCAAAUGUCUUUGACCAUGCCCCCACCCCUGUUUCCCUUAUGCAAGAUUGGCAAUGAAGCAGUGCUUGCUCCAGUUGCAACAGGUUCUCACAUUGAUGCCAUUCCGUACUCUGGGAAGUAUGAUGGUGUUGUUGGUGUGCUAGGUGCAAUAGAAGCCAUUAAUGUGCUAAAAAGGUAUUGGUUGAUUUUAUUGGUAGCGUCUGAUGAAUCUGAAAUAUGUGGUUAUAAAUUGCCACUUAUGUUUGCUUUCUGGGUUGAUUAGCAUUCUAGAUUAGCACUGAAAAUUUCUUUUUUUGCAAAUUGAUGGCAAUAAGUUCAAUCAACAUACAUAACUUUAUUCAUGAAUGGAUAAACUUUUAGAUGUUGAGUGCCUUUAGUUAGAUCACCUGUACCGUAGUUAGAUAAUGUCAAAAUUGAAUCAGGACAUAUUCAGAUAUUCCUUGCUCAAGCUAUCAAAGAAGAGAUUUGAAACACUUAUCUCAAACUAUAUCCAAAGACACCCUCUUAAAGCCGUGUCUUGGAGAUACAGUUAUAAUAAACAUUGUUAUGUUCUCUCAGUUUUCCAGUCUAGGGUAUUGUUUAUGCUUUUGGUUUCCAGCUAAUAAGAUUGUUUUGAACUGAAUAGCAUGGAUGCAAUUUCUUUCUCAUCAUGUCAUAGUUUUUUUCAGAUAAAGGUAUUGUGUAGUAGCCACAGUUGUUGGUCUAUGCUAUGUUGACUGGGUCUUUAACAGAUCUGGAUUCAAGCCUAGAAGGUCACUGGAGGUUAUCAUGUUCACCUCAGAGGAGCCCACACGCUAUGGGAUCAGUUGUUUGGGAAGGUUAGCCACUUGUAAAUGGUUAAAACUUCAUAACUCAAUACAUGCACUUGGGUUUAUUUGGUUGCUUUCCUUUCUUAAUUUUUGUCCAUACAAAAAGAAGAAAAGAUACUUUUCCUCUGGAGUUUCCUUUUACUUACCUUUGCAAACUUUAUAGCAACCACUUCCACUGUACAUCAAACUUCAACAGGUUAUGUCUUGGCAUGGUGGAUGGUAUAUGGGUUUGGAAAUCUUAUACUAUAGUAUGAGUUCGUGCAUUUAUUUUUUUUGUGCAGUCGCUUAUUGGCAGGAAUUGAGUCACUUGCAAAAGAUCUGACAUCAACAGUUGAUGGUCAAAAUAUAUCCUUUUUAGAUGGUGCAAGAUCUGCUGGAUACGCAAAAGAGCACAAUGACCUAUCCAGUGUGUUUUUGAAGAAAGGAAGUUACUCUGCUUUUGUUGAAUUGCAUAUAGAGCAGGGACCCAUUCUGGAAGAGGAA
rnacentral:lncRNA from 1 species